AAAUUGAAGAGUUUGAUCAUGGCUCAGAUUGAACGCUGGCGGCAGGCUUAACACAUGCAAGUCGAACGGUAACAGGAAGCAGCUUGCUGCUUUGCUGACGAGUGGCGGACGGGUGAGUAAUGUCUGGGAAACUGCCUGAUGGAGGGGGAUAACUACUGGAAACGGUGGCUAAUACCGCAUAACGUCGCAAGACCAAAGAGGGGGACCUUCGGGCCUCUUGCCAUCAGAUGUGCCCAGAUGGGAUUAGCUUGUUGGUGAG
rnacentral:rRNA from 1 species